rnacentral:RNase_P_RNA from 2 species
AAAGUAGACAAGGCGGUCGUCGGCUCUUUCGAUUCCUGGAGAAAGAAAGAGCGGGAGGAAAGUCCGAGCUCUACAGGACACAGUGCUCCGUAACGCGGAGUCCCGGCGACGGGAAGGAAAGUGCAACAGAAAAGAUACCGUUCCAUCUUUUGGGUGGAAUAAGGGUGAAAUGGCGGGGUCGUUCUCCUGUUAAAAAGAACAGGGUCUGAAUCGACUUAAUGUAAGAGCCCACCGCUCCGGUGGUGACAUCGGAGGCAUGGCAAACCCCACUGGGAGAAAGGUUAAAUAGAGAGGGAUGAAGUGGUCCGCUUCGGCAAUACCUCUGGGUAAACCGUUUGAUCUCGCUGGCAACAACGAGACUAGAUAAAUGACCGUCCACGACAGAACUCGGCUUAUUGUCUACUUAAAAA